UACGGAGGAUGCAAGCGUUAUCCGGAAUGAUUGGGCGUAAAGCGUCCGCAGGUGGCUAUGUAAGUCUGCUGUUAAAGAGUGAGGCUCAACCUCAUAAGAGCAGUGGAAACUACAUGGCUAGAGUGCGUUCGGGGCAGAGGGAAUUCCUGGUGUAGCGGUGAAAUGCGUAGAGAUCAUGAAGAACACCGGUGGCGAAAGCGCUCUGCUAGGCCGCAACUGACACUCAUGGACGAAAGCUAGGGGAGCGAAUGGG
rnacentral:rRNA from 1 species